GAUGAACGCUGGCGGCGUGCCUAAUACAUGCAAGUCGAGCGGACGGACGAGAAGCUUGCUUCUCUGAUGUUAGCGGCGGACGGGUGAGUAACACGUGGAUAACCUACUUAUAAGACUGGUAUCACUUCGGGAAACCGUAGCUAAUACCGGAUAAUAUUUUGCACCGCAGGGUGCAAAAGUGAAAGACGGUGUUGCUGUCUCGUAUCGAUGCAUCCGGGCUGUAUGAGCUAGUUGGGAGGGUAACGGCUUACGAAGGCAAGGAUGCAUGGCCGACCGGAGAGGGUGAUAGGCGACACUGGAACGGAGACGCGGUCCAGAGUCCUAAGGUAGGCAGCAGUAGGGAAUCGUCCGCAAUGGUCGAAAGCCUGACGGAGCAACGCCGCGUCAGUGAUGAAGGUGUUCGGAUCGUAAAACUCUGUUAUUAGGGAAGAACAUAUGUGUAAGUAACUGUGCACAUCUUGACGGUACCGAAUCAGAAAGCCACGGCUAACUACGUG
rnacentral:rRNA from 1 species